UAGGGAAUCUUCGGCAAUGGACGAAAGUCUGACCGAGCAACGCCGCGUGAGUGAAGAAGGUUUUCGGAUCGUAAAACUCUGUUGUUAGAGAAGAACAAGGACGUUAGUAACUGAACGUCCCCUGACGGUAUCUAACCAGAAAGCCACGGCUAACUACGUGCCAGCAGCCGCGGUAAUACGCAGGUGGCAAGCGUUGUCCGGAUUUAUUGGGCGUAAAGCGAGCGCAGGCGGUUUCUUAAGUCUGAUGUGAAAGCCCCCGGCUCAACCGGGGAGGGUCAUUGGAAACUGGGAGACUUGAGUGCAGAAGAGGAGAGUGGAAUUCCAUGUGUAGCGGUGAAAUGCGUAGAUAUAUGGAGGAACACCAGUGGCGAAGGCGGCCCCCUGGAAAAAGACUGACGCUAAGGUGCGAAAGCGUGGGGAGCAAACAGG
rnacentral:rRNA from 1 species